rnacentral:rRNA from 1 species
UACGGAGGGUGCAAGCGUUAAUCGGAAUUACUGGGCGUAAAGCGUGUGUAGGCGGAAUGGUAAGUACCUUGUGAAAUCCCACAGCUCAACUGUGGAACUGCUCGGUAUACUGCUUUUCUUGAGCCACUUAGGGGCUGUCGGAACAAACGGUGGAGCGGUGAAAUGCGUAGAUAUCAGGAGGAACACCCGUGGCGAAGGCAGCUCGCUGGGACGUGACUGACGCUGAGACGCGAAAGCGUGGGGAGCAAACAGG